GAUGAACGCUGGCGGCGUGCCUAAUACAUGCAAGUCGAGCGAACAGACGAGGAUCUUGCUCCUCUGACGUUAGCGGCUGACGGGUGAGUAACACGUGUAUAACCUACCUUUAAGACUGGGAUAACUUCGUGAAACCGGAGCUAAUACCGGAUAAUAUAUUGAACCGCAUGGUUCAAUUGUUAAUUACGGUUUUUCUUUCACUUAUAGAUGUUUCCGCGCCGCAUUAGCUAGUUGGUAAGGUAACGGCUUACCAAGGCUACGAUGCGUAGCCGACCUGAGAGGGUGAUCGGCAACACUGGAAGUGAGACACGGACCAGACUACUACGGGAGGCAGCAGUAGGGAAUAUUCCGAAAUGGGCGAAAGCAUGACGGAGCAACGCCGCGGGAGAGAUGAAGGACUUCGGAUCGUAAAACUCUGUUAUUAGGGAAGAAAAAAAGUGUAAGUAAAUAUGCACGUCUUGACGGUAACUAAUCAGAAAGCCACGGCUAACUACGUG
rnacentral:rRNA from 1 species